rnacentral:lncRNA from 1 species
UAUAUAGUCAUGUGUUAAAGGAUGUUAUACGGGAUGACUAUUUGGAUGAAUUAUUUUUAGAUAAUUUUACAUGAUAUCUACAUACGACACUAAAACAACCUACGUUUAUAGAAGCGUCCUCAGCGUGAAGAUCGCUUUAUGCUGAAGCCAGAAUGGAGAGGGAGAAGAGGAGUUUCCAGUAGGAGCUGCACCAAUCCCAUGAACUCCUGAGGCGCUGCAUCGAUGACUGGAGGCGAGUCGAUGUGGACGAUGAGCGGAAGGCCGCCGGACUCCUACAGCGGCUGCGGCGACGGCAAUCCCGAGCCGGACCUCGGUGCCUUUUUGAUCUUGCAUGAUUCCUUGGCAGCCUUGAGAGGGUGAGGCCUCGGAGUCUCACCCUGUUGCUCUCUCCCGCCUGAAGCAAUGGUUGCUGCUGCUUUUUAACUCACUAUAUAUAUACCAGAAGAUGGAGAAGAAAGCCACCAUAGCGUCGAUGACGUCAACGAGACUCCAUUAAUUAGGAAUCAAAGGAAGACCACCAGCUGAUGCUGAAUAAUUUAAUAGGGAGAACGAAGGACGAAGGAAAUGAGCAUGUCAUAUGAAUGCCACCAACACAUUAUUUUUUUGACCAUAAUGCUUUUUAUUCUACAUGUUUUUGUUCGUUUUUAGAGAGAGAGAGAGAGAGAGAGAGUCUGAAUGCCACCGACAACUUUGACUGCUUCCGAGCAGAAUAGACAAACAAAUAUGGUAUAACUCUAUCUGUUCUUGCAUCGAUCUAGCAAUCACACGAGGUCAAAAGUAUGUUGAUUCUUUACUGUCAGACCUAACGAGGAGCACCAUAUGACUUCGGCAAUCGUUCUCUUCAUCGAUAUCACUGAAAUAAUAUCUCAAAACACUUCAAAUUCACCAUCAAUUUAUCACUUCUUUUUUUUCUCUCGAGUAGUUUCCUGUGAAACCUUUUAUUGUCCGUUCAAGUGAGCAGUACUUGUAUUGCUAAAAAUCCAUAAGCUGGUCUCUCUACAUGUCUUCUCUUUCUUGUUCAGCAGAUUCAGGGCCUGUGCAUGCACAUUACUUGUGGACACACUGCAACCUCACAUGGAAAGACUUUUCGAUGGAGGAAGGAAAUAAACCACCCUUGCCAUGUUCUGUAGAUGUUGCUACCUCCUUCAUUGAUGGUGAAGGUCAUGUUGUGGUCCUCUCACCAUGAUCUCCAUCCACCUGCAAGGAAGUCUUGGGGAAGGUUGGCAAGGAAGCUGCUCCCAUAGCUUUCUUGGAUGUUACACCUGCAGAUUGCUGCAAGAAGAGCCAACCAUGAAAGCUUCCCCUCGACGAUGAUGAGUCGGCCGAUGUAUGACAAGUGGCAACAGCCAAA